AGCCCAAGCUUAAAACCCAAAGGACUUGACGGUGUCCCACCCACCUAGAGGAGCCUGUUCUAUAAUCGAUUCUCCCCGAUCUACCUCACCACUUCUAGCCUUUCAGCCUGUAUACCUCCGUCGUAAGCUUACCAUAUGAACGCUUUUUAGUGAGCUAAAAGAUUUUACAUAAAUACGUCAGGUCAAGGUGCAGCCCACGAAGUGGUAAGCAAUGGGCUACAAUUUCUAAAAUAGAACAUACGAAAGACUAUAUGAAACUUAGUCAUGAAGGCGGAUUUAGUAGUAAAAAGAAAAUAGAGUGUUCUUUUUAAUUAGGCGCUGGGACGCGUACACACCGCCCGUCACCCUCUUCAAACGCUUUAAUUAAGUUUAUAACGUUACUAUGCACUACAGAAGAGGUAAGUCGUAACACGGUAAGCGUACUGGAAAGUGCGCUUGGAUAAACAAAAUGUAGCUUAACCAAAGCAUCUCGCUUACACCGAGAAUAUAUCUGUGACACCCGGAUCAUUUUGAGCUAAAAACCUAGCUUUACUUCUCUCUAAUGCUCAUCCACCACUUCUUAACCACUAAAAUAAAACAUUUUACACCAUGUGUAAAGGCGAUUAAAAAAUGUCUUAAAGCUAUAAAACUAGUACCGCAAGGGAACAGUGAAAUAAUAAUGAAAAAACUAAAGCACGUUAAAGCAGAGCUUAAAUCUCGUACCUUUUGCAUCAUGGUCUAACUAGUCUACUCAAGCAAAAUGAAUUUUAAGUUUGACCCCCCGAAACUAGGUGAGCUACUUAAAAACAGCCUUUUGGGCCAACCCGUCUCUGUUGCAAAAGAGUGGGAAGAUUUUUAAGUAGAGGUGACAGACCUACCGAACCUAGAGAUAGCUGGUUAUUCAGGAAAAGGAUUUAAGUCCUACCUUAGGUUUUUGUACAAUUUAAGUACCCUAUUAACCUUAAGAGCUAUUCAAAUAAGGUACAGCCUAUUUGAAACAGGAUACAACCUCAUCCACCGGGUAAUAUUUGUUUUUAUCAACUAAGUGGGCCUAAAAGCAGCCACCUUUUAAAAAGCGUUAAAGCUUCAUUGUUUUUUUUAAAAAUUCCACUAAUUUUUUAUAACCCUUAACCUGUACUGAAUGAUCUCAUGACUUCAUGAGAGCCUAUAUGUUAGAACUAGUAACAAGAAGAAGCCCUUCUCCAAAAUGUAAGCAUGAGCCAAAAUGAACCAUUCAUCGGCAUUUAAAGUUAAUAAUCUUUUAGUAGUAACUCUUCAAGAAAAACCUACUAGAUACAACGUCAAUCUUACACAAGCACAUUUCUGGAAAGAUUAAAAGACUAGGAAGGAACUCGGCAAACAAUUAACCCCGCCUGUUUACCAAAAACAUCGCCUCCUGACUCUUAUAGGAGGUCCAGCCUGCCCAGUGACAAAGUUAAACGGCCGCGGUACCCUAACCGUGCAAAGGUAGCGCAAUCACUUGUUCUUUAAAUGAGGACUAGUAUGAACGGCAUCACGAGGGUUAUGCUGUCUCCCUACUUUAUUCAGUGAAACUGAUCUCCCCGUGAAGAAGCGGGGAUAAAAAUAUUAGACGAGAAGACCCCAUGGAGCUUUAAACUCAGUAUCAAGUGCCAUUACUAAAGCCUAAUACUCAAGCAACUUCUGACUACUAGUUUUCGGUUGGGGUGACCACGGAGUAAAAUAUAACCUCCAUGAUGAAAGGAAAUAAUAACCUAAAUCAAGAGCUACAGCUCUAAAUAUCAACAAAUUGACUAAAUUGAUCCAAUUUAUUGAUCAACGAACCAAGUUACCCUGGGGAUAACAGCGCAAUCCAUUUCAAGAGCUCCUAUCGACAAAUGGGUUUACGACCUCGAUGUUGGAUCAGGGUAUCCCAGUGGCGCAGCCGCUACUAACGGUUCGUUUGUUCAACGAUUA
rnacentral:rRNA from 1 species